CCUACGGGAGGCAGCAGUGGGGAAUAUUGCUCAAUGGGCGAAAGCCUGAUGCAGCAACGCCGCGUGAGCGAUGAAGGCCUUCGGGUCGUAAAGCUCUGUCCUCAAGGAAGAUAAUGACGGUACUUGAGGAGGAAGCCCCGGCUAACUACGUGCCAGCAGCCGCGGUAAUACGGAGGGGGCUAGCGUUAUCCGGAAUCACUGGGCGUAAAGGGUGCGUAGGUGGUUGCUUAAGUCAGAGGUGAAAGGCUACGGCUAAACCGUAGUAAGCCUUUGACACUGGGAAACUUGAGGGCAGGAGAGGAAAGUGGAAUUCCUGGUGUAGCGGUGAAAUGCGUAGAUAUUAGGAGGAACAC
rnacentral:rRNA from 1 species